UUGGCCCUAAAUCAAGGCCAUCGGUUUGCUGUAGCCGUUGGUUUCAAGCAGGAGCCCAGAGGAAACGUCUCCCAGUCUGUUGGCGCUCCCAUCACCGUGGAAUGACCAAUUCGUGUGGGAGUGACAAAA
rnacentral:snoRNA from 1 species